CUUCUCUGAUACGCUUUCUUCACCGCCGCUCAUCAAGAUUUUCAAAUUAAUCUUCAAGAACAAGGGUUUUCUCCAGAAACCCCUUUCUCUCAUCCCAUCCAUCUGCGACAUACAUUCAAUCCUUCAUUCGUCUUCAAUCAGCAGGUU